rnacentral:lncRNA from 1 species
CUCGAACGGGAUGGCAGAGGAGGUGAGGAGGGAGGAAGCGUCCGGAGUGGGGCGGGCCCGGACUCCGACCCCCGGGGCGCUUCGAGCCCCCCAGCUGGUCACCGAGGCACCGCCGCUUCACCCAGGUGAGCACCCUGAUGAAGGCCACGGUCCUGAUGCGGCAGCCUGGGCGGGUGCAGGAGAUCGUGGGCGCCCUCCGCAAGGGCGGCGGAGACCGGUUACAGGUACCUCUGGGGCGUGCGGGGGCCGGCCGGGCUGGGGGCGGCUGGAGAGGCUUCCUGCCCAUUGGGCCUUCCCGCUUUGCUCUGCCGCGGACCCCUCCUAGCUCUCUGCCCCAAGAAAUGGCCGGGAGCUUGAAGGAGAGCGGGUUGGUUCGCCUGUCCUAAAACCCAAAUUUCAGAUUUCUCAAUAUGGUCAUGCUGCUUCCUCUAAUUGGACAGAAGGCGCCCACACCAGUACCUAGGGCCUUAUCCUCCCCAAGCCAGCGGCUCCCCAGUGAUUUCUGAUUUUGACAUGACCUUGAGCAGGUUUGCAUAUAAUGGAAAGCGAUGCCCUUCUUCUUACAAUAUUCUGGAUAAUAGCAAGAUCAUCAGUGAGGAGUGUCGGAAAGAGCUCACAGCGCUCCUUCACCACUAUUACCCAAUUGAGAUCGACCCACACCGGACCGUCAAGGAGAAGCUACCUCAUAUGGUGGAAUGGUGGACCAAAGCACACAAUCUCCUAUGUCAGCAGAAGAUUCAGAAGUUUCAGAUAGCCCAGGUGGUUAGAGAGUCCAAUGCAAUGCUCAGGGAGGGAUAUAAGACCUUCUUCAACACACUCUACCAUAACAACAUUCC